rnacentral:rRNA from 3 species
ACUUAAAUUGAAGAGUUUGAUCAUGGCUCAGAUUGAACGCUGGCGGCAGGCCUAACACAUGCAAGUCGAGCGGUAGCACAGAGAGCUUGCUCUCGGGUGACGAGCGGCGGACGGGUGAGUAAUGUCUGGGAAACUGCCUGAUGGAGGGGGAUAACUACUGGAAACGGUAGCUAAUACCGCAU